UACGGAGGGUGCAAGCGUUAUCCGGAAUCAUUGGGUUUAAAGGGUCCGUAGGCGGGCUAAUAAGUCAGUGGUGAAAUCCCAUCGCUUAACGAUGGAACUGCCAUUGAUACUGUAGGUCUUGAAUUCGGUCGAAGUGGGCGGAAUGUGUCAUGUAGCGGUGAAAUGCUUAGAUAUGACCCAGAACACCGAUUGCGAAAGCAGCUAACUAACAUGUAACUGACGCUGAGGGACGAAAGCGUGGGUAGCGAAAGGG
rnacentral:rRNA from 1 species